rnacentral:rRNA from 1 species
UACGUAGGGUGCAAGCGUUAAUCGGAAUUACUGGGCGUAAAGCGUGCGCAGGCGGUGAUGUAAGACAGGUGUGAAAUCCCCGGGCUUAACCUGGGAACUGCAUUUGUGACUGCACGGCUGGAGUGCGGCAGAGGGGGAUGGAAUUCCGCGUGUAGCAGUGAAAUGCGUAGAUAUGCGGAGGAACACCGAUGGCGAAGGCAAUCCCCUGGGCCUGCACUGACGCUCAUACACGAAAGCGUGGGGAGCAAACAGG